rnacentral:lncRNA from 1 species
GAGGAGUAGAGGAGAAGUGGAGGAGAGGAGGAGUAGAGGAGAAGUGGAGGAGAAGAGUAGGAGAGAGGAGAAGAGGAGGAGAGCGGAGAAGUGGAGGAGAAGGGGAGGAGAGAGGAGAAGAGGAGGAGAGAGGAGAAGUGGAGGAGAAGAGUAGGAGAGAGGAGAAGAGGAGAAGAGGAGGAGUAGAGGAGAAGUGUAGGAGAAGAGUAGGAGAGAGGAGAAGUAGAGGAGUAGAGUAGGAGAGAGGAGAAGAGGAGGAGAGGAGUAGAGAGGAGAAGAGGAGGAGUAGAGUAGGAGAGAGGAGAAGAGGAGAAGAGGAGGAGAGAGGAGAAGAGGAGGAGAAGAGUAGGAGAGAGGAGACGAGGAGGAGUAGAGUAGGAGAGAGGAGAAGAGGAGAAGAGGAGAAGAGGAGGAGAGAGUAGGAGAGGAGUAGGAGAAGAGUAGGAGAGAGGAGAAGAGGAGAAGAGGAGGAGAAGAGUAGGAGAGAGGAGAAGAGGAGAAGAGGAGGAGAGAGGAGAAAGAGGAGAAGAGGAGGAGUAGAGUAGGAGAGAGGAGAAGAGGAGGAGAAGAGGAGGAGAGAGGAGAAGAGGAGAAGAGGAGGAGAGAGGAGAAGAGGAGGAGAAGAGUAGGAGAGAGGAGAAGAGGAGGAGUAGAGUAG